CAGCCGCCGCGGUAAUACAGAGGGUGCGAGCGUUAAUCGGAUUUACUGGGCGUAAAGCGUGCGUAGGCGGCUUCUUAAGUCGGAUGUGAAAUCCCUGAGCUUAACUUAGGAAUUGCAUUCGAUACUGGGAAGCUAGAGUAUGGGAGAGGAUGGUAGAAUUCCAGGUGUAGCGGUGAAAUGCGUAGAGAUCUGGAGGAAUACCGAUGGCGAAGGCAGCCAUCUGGCCUAAUACUGGCGCUGAGGUACGAAAGCAUGGGGAGCAAACAGGAUUAGAUACCCCCGUAGUCCCUGUCUCUUAUAU
rnacentral:rRNA from 1 species